UUAAGCGACUAAGCGUACACGGUGGAUGCCCUGGCAGUCAGAGGCGAUGAAGGACGUGCUAAUCUGCGAAAAGCGUCGGUAAGGUGAUAUGAACCGUUAUAACCGGCGAUGUCCGAAUGGGGAAACCCAGUGCAAUUCGUUGCACUAUCGUUAACUGAAUACAUAGGUUAACGAGGCGAACCGGGGGAACUGAAACAUCUAAGUACCCCGAGGAAAAGAAAUCAACCGAGAUUCCCCCAGUAGCGGCGAGCGAACGGGGAGCAGCCCAGAGUCUGAAUCAGCUUGUGUGUUAGUGGAACGGUCUGGAAAGUCCGACGGUACAGGGUGAUAGUCCCGUACACCAAAAUGCACAGGUUGUGAACUCGAAGAGUAGGGCGGGACACGUGGUAUCCUGUCUGAAUAUGGGGGGGGACCAUCCUCCAAGGCUAAAUACUCCUGACUGACCGAUAGUGAACCAGUACCGUGAGGGAAAGGCGAAAAGAACCCCGGCGAGGGGAGUGAAAAAGAACCUGAAACCGUGUACGUACAAGCAGUGGGAGCACCUUCGGGUGUGACUGCGUACCUUUUGUAUAAUGGGUCAGCGACUUAUAUUCUGUAGCAAGGUUAACCGUAUAGGGGAGCCGCAGGGAAACCGAGUCUUAACUGGGCGUUAAGUUGCAGGGUAUAGACCCGAAACCCGGUGAUCUAGCCAUGGGCAGGUUGAAGGUUGGGUAACACUAACUGGAGGACCGAACCGACUAAUGUUGAAAAAUUAGCGGAUGACUUGUGGCUGGGGGUGAAAGGCCAAUCAAACCGGGAGAUAGCUGGUUCUCCCCGAAAGCUAUUUAGGUAGCGCCUCGUGAACUCAUCUUCGGGGGUAGAGCACUGUUUCGGCUAGGGGGUCAUCCCGACUUACCAACCCGAUGCAAACUACGAAUACCGAAGAAUGUUAUCACGGGAGACACACGGCGGGUGCUAACGUCCGUCGUGAAGAGGGAAACAACCCAGACCGCCAGCUAAGGUCCCAAAGUCAUGGUUAAGUGGGAAACGAUGUGGGAAGGCACAGACAGCCAAGGAUGUUGGCUUAGAAGCAGCCAUCAUUUAAAGAAAGCGUAAUAGCUCACUGGUCGAGUCGGCCUGCGCGGAAGAUGUAACGGGGCUAAACCAUGCACCGAAGCUGCGGCAGCGACACUAUGUGUUGUUGGGUAGGGGAGCGUUCUGUAAGCCUGCGAAGGUGUGCUGUGAGGCAUGCUGGAGGUAUCAGAAGUGCGAAUGCUGACAUAAGUAACGAUAAAGCGGGUGAAAAGCCCGCUCGCCGGAAGACCAAGGGUUCCUGUCCAACGUUAAUCGGGGCAGGGUGAGUCGACCCCUAAGGCGAGGCCGAAAGGCGUAGUCGAUGGGAAACAGGUUAAUAUUCCUGUACUUGGUGUUACUGCGAAGGGGGGACGGAGAAGGCUAUGUUAGCCGGGCGACGGUUGUCCCGGUUUAAGCAUGUAGGCUGAUUGUCCAGGCAAAUCCGGAUAAUCAAGGCUGAGGUGUGAUGACGAGGCACUACGGUGCUGAAGUAACAAAUGCCCUGCUUCCAGGAAAAGCCUCUAAGCAUCAGGUAACAUUAAAUCGUACCCCAAACCGACACAGGUGGUCAGGUAGAGAAUACCAAGGCGCUUGAGAGAACUCGGGUGAAGGAACUAGGCAAAAUGGUGCCGUAACUUCGGGAGAAGGCACGCUGGUGUAGGUGAAGUCCCUGCGGAUGGAGCUGAGACCAGUCGAAGAUACCAGCUGGCUGCAACUGUUUAUUAAAACACAGCACUGUGCAAACACGAAAGUGGACGUAUACGGUGUGACGCCUGCCCGGUGCCGGAAGGUUAAUUGAUGGGGUUAUCCGUAAGGAGAAGCUCUUGAUCGAAGCCCCGGUAAACGGCGGCCGUAACUAUAACGGUCCUAAGGUAGCGAAAUUCCUUGUCGGGUAAGUUCCGACCUGCACGAAUGGCGUAAUGAUGGCGCUGUCUCCACCCGAGACUCAGUGAAAUUGAACUCGCUGUGAAGAUGCAGUGUACCCGCGGCAAGACGGAAAGACCCCGUGAACCUUUACUAUAGCUUGACACUGAACAUUGAGCCUUGAUGUAGGAUAGGUGGGAGGCUUUGAAGCGUGGACGCCAGUCUGCGUGGAGCCAACCUUGAAAUACCACCCUUUAAUGUUUGAUGUUCUAACGUUGGCCCCUGACCGGGGUUGCGGACAGUGUCUGGUGGGUAGUUUGACUGGGGCGGUCUCCUCCCAAAGCGUAACGGAGGAGCACGAAGGUUAGCUAAUCCUGGUCGGACAUCAGGAGGUUAGUGCAAUGGCAUAAGCUAGCUUGACUGCGAGCGUGACGGAGCAGGUGCGAAAGGGUCAUAGUGAUCCGGUGGUUCUGAAUGGAUAACGGAUAAAAGGUACAUAACAGGCUGAUACCGCCCAAGAGUUCAUAUCGACGGCGGUGUUUGGCACCUCGAUGUCGGCUCAUCACAUCCUGGGGCUGAAGUAGGUCCCAAGGGUAUGGCUGUUCGCCAUUUAAAGUGGUACGCGAGCUGGGUUUAGAACGUCGUGAGACAGUUCGGUCCCUAUCUGCCGUGGGCGCUGGAGAAUUGAGGGGGGCUGCUCCUAGUACGAGAGGACCGGAGUGGACGCAUCACUGGUGUUCGGGUUGUCAUGCCAAUGGCACUGCCCGGUAGCUAAAUGCGGAAGAGAUAAGUGCUGAAAGCAUCUAAGCACGAAACUUGCCCCGAGAUGAGUUCUCCCUGAGACUUUAAGUCUCCUGAAGGAACGUUGAAGACGACGACGUUGAUAGGCCGGGUGUGUAAGCGCAGCGAUGCGUUGAGCUAACCGGUACUAAUGAACCGUGAGGCUUAACCU
rnacentral:rRNA from 1 species